rnacentral:sRNA from 1 species
AAAAUACUAAGAUUCGAAGUGACGCCAAUGCUCGUCAGCUACGAACCGCUGAAUGCUUAUCAUUGAUUAAGGACGCCAAAGAAGAAUCUGACACUCUUUUCCCUUUGUUACUUAAU